UACAGAGGGGGCCAGCGUUAUUCGGAAUUAUUGGGCGUAAAGGGCGCGUAGGCGGCUUUGCGUGUCUUUCGUGAAAUCCCUCGGCUCAACUGAGGACGUGCGGACGAAACUGCAGGGCUUGAGUCCGGGAGAGGAGGGUGGAAUUCCCGGUGUAGCGGUGAAAUGCGUAGAUAUCGUUUGGAACGCCAAUGGCGAAAACAGGUCGCUGGGGAUGCGCUGACGCUGAGGCACGAAAGCCAGGGGAGCAAACGGG
rnacentral:rRNA from 1 species